rnacentral:rRNA from 1 species
GCAAGUCGAACGGCGGCACGGUUCCUUGCACCUGGUGCCGAGUGGCGAACGGGUGAGUAAUACAUCGUAACGUACCUUAUCGUGGGGGAUAACGCAGCGAAAGCUGUGCUAAUACCGCAUACGCCCUGAGGGGGAAAGCGGGGGAUCGAAAGACCUCGCGCGAUUAGAGGAGCCGGUGCCUGAUUAGCUUGUUGGUGGGGUAAAAGCCCACCAAGGCGACGAUCAGUAGCUGGUCUGAGAGGACGAUC